rnacentral:rRNA from 1 species
GACGAAUGCUGGCUGCGUGCUUAACACAUGCAAGUCGAACGGUGAAGGGGAGCUUGCUCCCCGGAUCAGUGGCGAACGGGUGAGUAACACGUGGGCAACCUGCCCCUCACUCUGGGAUAACUCCGGGAAACCGGGGCUAAUACCGGAUACGACCGGGAGCGACAUCGCUCCUGGUGGAAAGAACUUCGGGAGGGAUGGGCCCGCGGCCUAUCAGCUAGUUGGUGGGGUAACGGCCCACCAAGGCGACGACGGGUAGCCGGCCUGAGAGGGCGACCGGCCACACUGGACUGAGACACGGCCCAGACUCCUACGGGAGGCAGCAGUGGGGAAUAUUGCGCAAUGGGCGAAAGCCUGACGCAGCGACGCAGCGUGAGGGACGAAGGCCUUCGGGUUGUAAACCUCUUUCAGCGGGGACGAAGCGAAAGUGACGGUACCCGCAGAAGAAGCACCGGCUAACUACGUGCCAGCCGCCGCGGUAA